rnacentral:rRNA from 1 species
GUGCACCAGGCGCGAAUCCUUCGCAAUGCGGGAAACCGCGACGAGGGACUCCCAGUGCCUACGCUCAGCGUAGGCUGUUCCCGAGCCUAGAAAGCUCGGGGAGUAAGGGCUGGGUAAGACGGGUGCCAGCCGCCGCGGUAAUACCCGCAGCCCGAGUGGUGGCCACUAUUAUUGGGCCUAAAGCGUCCGUAGCCGGCCCGGUAAAUGCCUGGGUAAAUCGUGAGGCCUAACCUCACGAAUUCCGGGUAGACUGCCGGGCUAGGGACCGGAGGAGGGAGAGGGUACUCCGGGGGUAGGGGUGAAAUCCUGUAAUCCCUGGAGGACCACCGGUGGCGAAGGCGCUCUCCUAGGACGGGUCCGACGGUGAGGGACGAAAGCCAGGGGAGCGAACCGGAUUAGAUA